UACGGAGGAUGCGAGCGUUAUCCGGAUUUACUGGGUGUAAAGGGAGCGUAGACGGCGAUGCAAGUCUGAAGUGAAAGGCGGGGGCCCAACCCCCGGACUGCUUUGGAAACUGUAUAGCUGGAGUGCAGGAGAGGUAAGUGGAAUGCCUAGUGUAGCGGUGAAAUGCGUAGAUAUUAGGAGGAACACCAGUGGCGAAGGCGACUUUCUGGACAGUAACUGACGUUGAGGCACGAAAGUGUGGGGAGCAAACAGG
rnacentral:rRNA from 1 species